GCGCGGAUAGCUUAGUGGAAGAUGGCGAUUACUUCGAGAGCUAUUAUCAGCGGGUUCGAAUCCCGCCUGUGGCCA